GCAGCCUGGGCAGCUGCAGCUGGUGUGGUGGGAAAGGCUGUGGGAGCAGCGGAAAUGGGAAAAGCAGGACAGACUGGAGGACAGUCCAGGAAGCACAGCCCAGGGACAGGGCACUGAGGCCGGGGGCGAAGCUGGCAGGGUCCAAGGACACCAGGAACCCGCCGGUCACAGACUCGGGAUCUGGGAGAAUUGCCUAGACUCUUGGGAUCCCCCGGCUCUGACCCUCGGGACACAGGCUUAGAGCCAGGAGGCUGGGCGAGGAGAACCCAGGCCCUUCUGAGCCAGAGCCUCAGCCCAGGAGCGCCUUCCCAGCAAGAGGCAGCCUCGGCCGGGGGCUCGGUGGACCAGGUGGAGCCUGCCGCCAGGUGGGGUGCGUGUGGGAAGAAGCUCCUGGAAUUGGGAAGGCCUUUCUUGCAUCCUCUGCAAAUCAGCAAACCCAUCUCGCUUCCCUCACCUAGAGCCCCCAGCCAAGCGUGGUGGGGUGGGGGGCGGGAGGGGGAACUUGAUUAAUAUGCAAAAUAGGUGUCGGCCCUUCCUCUCCACCCCACUCAAAGCCUGCAAACACCUGGGCCUGCAUCUGAAAGGUCCCAGGGCCUUUUAUAUUGGCAGGUCCUACAAGAAGCGGGCGGGAGCGCCGGGAAAUCCGCCCAGCCUGGGAACUCGUGGCUCCUCCCGGUCCUGGGCUUUGAGCUCCGGCUGCAGCUGCAGCUCUGAUGCUGUCUCGCUGACGGCCCUGCCGGACUCAGACACACCAGCCCCUCCUGCCCCAGGACCUUUGCGCUGAUGGUCCUUCUGCCCGAAUGCGCUCCAGGGGAAAAAGCAAACACGAUCCCCCACGACCACAGACGAUGCAGGCGAGGUUCCCACGUCUGGGGAGACCGCAGGCUCAGCACAUCUGGAGCAAUGGACGAGCCCCACCCUGGGAGAGCCGCCUUCGUGAUCGUGGGCUCUCCUCUGCCAGGUAGUACGGGAACUCAUCCGUCACCGCCGUCACGAUGGUCUCCAGGAAGGCAAACUGGGGAGCGGGCGUCAGAGCUCUGCCCCAGCCGCACACGGAUACACACGCUGAUGACACACACAGCACGGGCGAAUCCCACGGAGACGCGCACGAUACGCAGCCACGCAUCCCACACAGAGACACACGCGGACAGCAGCGUCACGUGCACGCAGGGGCUCAGACACGCGCACGAGACACACCCCCUGGCAAGCACCA